ACGACAUAAAACAGGAAUGCAGGAAAACCGUUUUUUAAGACACUUUGUAUAAAGCAAUAAUUAUUCCCAUCUGUAAGAAGACUUUAAUUCUCCCAGUCAAUUAUUAUCGAGAUUUCCAGACCGCAUUGCCAUAAUUAGAGUCCACGAGCCCGCAACGCCAACUGCGGACCAACUGUGGUCGAUUUGUUAUUUUGGGAUAAUAACGAGCAUGGAAUAUACUUUCUCCUUAUUAAAUAACAGGUUCC